ACUCAGCCUUUCUCUUUUUGCUCUUUUCUGCCAUAGGUGUUAACACUAGACCAUUUUUCCCCUGCAUCUUUCAUCCUUUUUUCUUCCCCUCACACACUGUGGGUAGGAUCCUGCUGCACAGUUGCUCUGGAAACAGCCUUGCAACUGACAUUAGUGAACUAGCCAUAAAAACAGCUCUCAGGCCCUGCUCCUAGAUACAAAGACAAGAAAGAAGUAUUCCAAGAUGGUCCUCCUGGGAGUGGGACUUCAGGCUAUUUUAGGUCUUGCUGUAUUUCCCAAACUUUCUUCAGUGAGCAUACAUAAGUUUUAUAACACUGAGGAGUUUUAAAAUAAUUUAAAAAAAAUCUCAUCGAUUCAGAUCUACUUCAUCCAUCCGUUGCCAAUAAAUAUCUAAAGAAAAAGUCUAUCUGAAGCAUUAGCACAGUGAAUCUGCCAGGCCAAGCCUUCCUUGAAGAAACACACUCAGCUAACACAGGGCAUUUACUGCCCUAAUACAAAUUCAUUUCUCAGGCAGGUUUGAGAUUUUUUUUUUUUUUCCUCUCCUUGAAUUGGGGAUUGGGGAGGGGGGAGCACAGAAGGGAUUAUAAAUUUGAAAGUACAAGAGCAAAUUGAGUUUUUCCUUUCUUUCUUAUUUUGGCUUUUAGCCUGUCUAGAACCAAAUCAGGCAGGAAGUAGGCACAAGAAAUCCACCAGCUUUUGUCCUUUACGUCAACUUUCCUAAUGCAACUCAGCCCCUCCCACACUCCGUUCUGUGAGGUCCCAGUGAGGCAUCUGGCAGCAGGAAAACCACCAAACUGAAGCAUACUCUGUGUCCGGGUUCCCUUCACCAGUCAAAUGCCAAUUCUCUCAGGGCACAGGAAAGCAGAUUUUGAGUGCCAGAAGCAUGACCUUUGAUUCAGCUAAUUUGAUUGGAGCUACUAAAAUAACCCCUCCCUUAACCCUGCCCUUCCCAUCGCUAUCUAGUUUCUCUGACCUAGUAUCUCAUUUAAAACUCCCCAGAGCUACCGUCUUCUCUCGGUGUGCUUUGCAUUCUCACACAGCCUGGCUUCCAUCUUACUCCUCCUUCCAAGGAAUUACCCCACGGAUCAACAAUCUACUUGACGAGUCAAAGUUCAGCCCCUUGUUUACUUUGGCCCCCUGCCUGUUUGUGAACUAUUCAAUUAUUCGUUCUUUAAACCCUUAUUCCCUUGGUUUCUAUGAAAUCACACUCUCCUGGUUCUCCUGGGCUCCCUCUGAACAUCUAAACUCCUAUUUCUUCAUCUCCCAGCCUUCACUUGUUCUUCUGGAUGCUGCCCUCUCCCACUGGUAUUCUCGCCCCUACACUCUCUCAAUUGUCUGAUUCAUUCUUAGUUUCAGCCACAAUUCGUAUGCUAACUCCAGCCCAGACCUUUCCCCUCUGAUUCAUAUUUCCUGGAGGUUCGGGCCUUAACAUGGCUGUCACAUGGGCCUGAAACCCACCGUAUCCAGAGCUGAAUUCAUCUCUCAUUAGUGCUCUUUGGUUGUAAGCAACAGAGACUGAUCCUGACUAGCCCAUGCAUAGAAGAGAUGACCUGGAAGGCUUGCAAGGUGCCUCAUGGAAUCAAAGGAAUCACUGAAUAACCCAGUGUCUGAAGGCAAGAAUAGGGUCACUGCAUAGAUUCCAGGAACUGAAUGAUCAGCUUUCUGGAAAACUAUUUCUGUCCUGACAGUUGAUAACAUAUUCUGUGGUUUGGGCAGAGACCCCUACAUUUCUGCCUCUACUAGCUCCAUAUGGAAAAUUACAACUAACAGUCUACCCUUUGGAAGCAGAAAGAAAGUUAAUUACUUGGUUAGAGGUGGGAGACAUUGUCACGAUGGAAGGAACCAGCUAGCUACAUUUGACCCCAAAGCAUGUGAAAUUGAGUGAUAAACUAGCAUGAUUACAUAAAUUCUGCCUUGAUAGCAUCUUCAAAUGGUUUAUUUGGGGAGUUUUCUUUGUAGAAUCUUUCAACUCCUCAUGCGUUAGAACCUAAGAAGGGAGUAAACAAAAAUAAGUGUGAGGGAAAGAGUAGACGGGUGGGUACCAUUCCUCUCAAGAUAAAAUGAUGGUCAGGUGGACAUAGGGCCUACUUCUCUGGGGUCCCUGCUGUCCCCUUUCACAAAUUCUUCUGUGGCACCUUCAACAUUCCACUGUUUGUAACAAUUAACACAUCUGCUCCUCAGCAGGAAUAUGGGAUCCUUGAGGUCAGGAUCCUUGCAGACUUGUUCAUCUCUGUAUUUCCAGAAUCUAGUACAAAAAAAAUUUUUUUUCCUUAAAUGAAUAAUUAAAGGAAUGAAUGAAACAUUACCAGCCCCAGGAGUUCCCUUGUAGUGAAGCAGGUUAAAGAUCUGGUGUUGUCACUGUAGCAGCUUGGGUCACUCCUGUGGCACGGUUUCAACCCUUGACCCGGGAACUUCCAUAUGCCAUGGUGUGCAGUGAAAGAAAGGAAGGAAGAAAGGAAGAUUACCAGCCCUACUAACACCAAAGGUUCUUCUCCUAGGAUUUCUUUGACAGCUCAGAAUCAACUCCCUCCGGAACCAUCUGGUGUUGAUUUUCUGACCACACCUCCUAGAGGCUCCUCAGGGUCCACAGUCUAAGGUUCUUGCAGAUGUUUUAAUUACCUGGUAUUUCCUUUGUAUAUUUUAAUUUCCUUCGCGGGCAUUUAUUAAAAGCUAUUUCUAACUUACUUUAAUAACCUUUUCAUAAUUUUAAGAGUAACACAUGCCCAUUUGUAU
rnacentral:lncRNA from 1 species